GCCGGUAUAGCUCAGUUGGUAGAGCACCUGAUUUGUAAUCAGGGGGUCGCGGGUUCAAAUCCUGCUGCCGGCACCA
rnacentral:tRNA from 3 species